rnacentral:rRNA from 1 species
UAGCCAUAUUGCACGGUGCCUCGAUUCGAAGGACGGCCUUCGGAUUGUAAACAGCUUCCGGACGGAAACAAAAUUCACGGUCUAAUACGGGGUGUCCAUGACGGUACCGUAACAAUAAGCCCCGGCUAACUACGUGCCAGCAGCCGCGGUAAUACGUAGGGUGCAAGCGUUAAUCGGAAUUACUGGGCGUAAAGCGUGCGCAGGCGGUUAUAUAAGACAGAUGUGAAAUCCCCGGGCUCAACCUGGGAACUGCAUUUGUGACUGUAUAGCUAGAGUCCGGAAAAGGGGGAUGGAAUUCCGGGUGUACCAGUGAAAUGCUUAAAUUUUCGGAGGAACACCGAUGGCAAAGGCAAUCCCCUGGACCUGUACUGACGCUCAUGCACAAAAGCGUGGGGAGCAAACAGGAUUAAAUACCCUGGUAGUCCACGCCCUAAACAAUGUCAACUGGUUGUUGGGUCUUCACUGACUCAGUAACGAACCUAACGCGUGAAGUUGACCGCCUGGGGAGUACGGUCGCAAACUCAAA